CCUUCUCUUCGGCAGACCUUUUUUCCACUCUCUCUCGAAUUUUUAAUUUGGGAAACAUUGGCCGGAAAAUGAGCGCCGCGAGAAAAUCUGUUGCCAAACACUGAAAUAAAGUUUUGGAUGCAUUUUUCAACUAACGUGGACAGCUUUUUAGUGUUAUAUCAAGCAGACACUACACAAGCAUUGUAAGGAAAUGAAGCUGAUUGUCCAAAGGGAACAACAAAAAGAUUGCGGUUCAGGUUCAUUUCAUUUAACUCAGAAAAUAAACUAAGCUCAUCCAUCACAUCAAGAUGAGGAAGAAGGGCUUGUGUCAUUGAAUCUGUCAUCCACACACCAAUGAUCUUUAGAACUUUGAUCUAAAAUGGAAUCUUUAGUAUUUGCAAAACAUCAUCAUUUAUUUGAUCUUUAUCCACUUUCCAAUGCUUUUCCCAUUGAUCAGCGCUGAUGUCAUUCACCGUUAAACCAUUAACAGUAAACUG